GACGGGGGGGGCAAGUGUUCUUCGGAAUGACUGGGCGUAAAGGGCACGCAGGCGGUGAAUCGGGUUGAAAGUGAAAGUCGCCAAAAAGUGGCGGAAUGCUCUCGAAACCAAUUCACUUGAGUGAGACAGAGGAGAGUGGAAUUUCGUGUGUAGGGGUGAAAUCCGUAGAUCUACGAAGGAACGCCAAAAGCGAAGGCAGCUCUCUGGGUCCCUACCGACGCUGGGGUGCGAAAGCAUGGGGAGCGAACAGG
rnacentral:rRNA from 1 species